rnacentral:lncRNA from 1 species
GAUUGAAUGAGACAGCAUAUAGAAAGUACUAAAUUUAGUGAUUGGCAACACACUAAAAAAUAACUCUAUACACCCAGCACCCUAGACCAGAAGGCAUUGUGCUGACUCCCAGAAUGCACUAGAAAGCAGUCUGCUUCUUCCCUUCCUGCCCUUCCUCUCCUCUCCUCUGUUCUCCUUUCCUCUGUUCUCUCCUUUUUUCUCUCCUCCCCUGCCCACCCUAUCCCUCUUCCCUUCCCCUUCCUCUCUCACUCUCCUCUCCCCUGAUUCCAGCCCAUUUAGUAUCUAGGUGACUCUAUCCCAAGCUUCUUCUCCUGGUGCCUUUGUCCCCAUCUCUCCAAGCCACCUUGAUUGUCUCCUCUACCUGACAGGGUCACCCUGCUGGCUGCAGGCUGGAGGGAUUUAUAGCAAUUCCCUCCCUCCUUGCCUGCACGGGGCUACCAGACAGCCGGAAGAUAUGUGGGUUGGACACAGUGGGGCCCUGGGAGAGGCAAAUAAAUACAUCAAGUUCCCAGCUGAGUCUGGAGAUAAGGACGCAGGAAGAUGGGGCUGCAGGAUUCACAGAUGCUGCACUGCACGGGGUCACUCUUCAUAGCCUGAUUCCUCUGGCUUCCCCAGGAAAGUCUAUUUGGGGCACUUUGAAGAGGACACAGAAGAGGACAGCACCUGAGCAAUCUUUUCCUGGGAGGCGCUGCACUGAGGCACCCUUCCUCAGCUUGGAUUUGUAAAGUGAAAGGGAUAGAGGACCUCCAGGCCCCAAACUCUGAUGCUGGGUGACUCUCUGAUCCUUGAAGGCUGUCAUUGCAUCUCCCUAAGUAAAAGUGCCUCUCUUCUCUGCCAUGGGACUGGGAGACAUGUUCAGGAUGUGAAGUCAUAUAGGGACAUCUUUGAGUUCAUAAACAUCUCCUGUUCAUAAAUAUCCGACUAAAGACUGAAGCUUCCACUGCUCCCAAAAUAGCUUUGGAUCCCAGCACAGGCAUUUCCAAGAACAGAUUUUUAUCCUUUCAAGAAUUCCGUGAAAGAGCUGGGUGCGAUGUGUGCCUCUAGGCACAGCUACUUGGGAGGAUGAGGCAGGAGGAUCACUUGAGCCCAGGAUUUGAGGCCAGCUGGACAAUACAGUUUGAUCCUCAGCCCAAAUAAAUAAAUAAGUAUAAAAAUAAAUCAAUCGAUCCAAGAAUUCUGUGAAAGCAAAGAAUCCUCUGGUUUGUAUGCCUACCAGAGUUUCCUGAAGUUGGUCACACACACUGCCCUGACCCUGACUGUGAUCUCAGACUGUGGAUAUAGAUUGGUCUAAACUCCAGAUAAGGAAGUAUCUAGUAUGGUCCAUUAUAAUCCUGGUCAUUCUCAUUUCAAUUCAUUUUGAUACAAUAUUAGGCUACUCUGAACAUGCAAUUCCCCAAUCCUUCUAUUUAAAAGGGAUUUCUUG